rnacentral:lncRNA from 1 species
GGGAGUAUUAGAUCUAGAAAAGUUUUUUUUUCUAAAGUAUGCCUUCGUUGUCAAGGAGAAGUUUAGUCUUGAUGUCACAUGAUAAUUAGGAGUACCCCUGGAGAUGCUUUGAUGCUUUGGUGUGCCCCUUUUCAUUGAUGUUGUUGGAUGAGUAAUCAUAUGAUAAUGAGGAGUACCCAUGAAGAUGCUUUGGUGCUUUGGUGUGCCCCUUUUGAUAGGCGUUAUUGGAUAAUAAGUAGGUGAUCUGUGAGAGAUAAAGGUGAUUUUUUGGAUUUUCCCUGUUUUGUUGGUACCUUGAUUUCCAGGGAAACAUUGGUCUAGCUAGGUUGUUUAUAAAGUCCUUUGGUUUUCACAUAUGCAAAUGGAAACAUCUCUAUCUCUAAUGUUGUCGAUUUUGAGGUACCAAAAGCUUGAGACAUUUGAUUUUGGGUUAAUCCUAGUUAUGAUGGUGCAUGCUUGAUGUGCAUAUAUGUGACCAUUUGCUCCUAUGUUCACUUUUGUUGAGUUGCAACCUGACCUUCUGAAUUUGUUUUACUUCAGAGAUGUGGUCCCGUCGUUGUUGGCUGUUGAAUUUGUGCUGCAGUCCAUGCCCACCACGUCCGUGUCUUCGCCCCUUUGUCAUCCAACACAAACAGCAGAACGGAGCAACAACCGCGGUUUGCGAGGUCAGAGAACUGCCGCAGCUUGCUGCCAUGUACAGCUCGCCCUUCUUCUAUGCCAAAAGCCCCUCGAUUGAAGCUCCAACUCAAUUGCAAAUCAAAAUUACCAACCCAGAUAAUCUCUCCGGAACAACGCCUAGCUCGCCGUGCUCCACUCACUGUAAGUACCUUGACCUCUGGUUAUUCUGAACCAUUUCUUUUUCUGUUUGGGCUGUAAUUUGUAAGUUUUCUUUCUUAGUAAAUAAUAAAUAAAGCUUUGCUGCUGAUGACUAUUUUCUUGGAUAAGAUUAUAUUAUUUAGAUUGUGAGCUCACCUAUUUGUGAUUUGUAUCUCAGCUAACAGCAUAUCUCAUAACCGAAGGCAUGAACAAGUGCUUCAGUAUUGCUGGUGGCAAUCCAUUGCUUGAGGUGACAUCGUGUGCAAGAUUAUCCCCAUGGAGGGCGCUGGCACGGUGACACCCUCCUCGACCUGUUGAUCCCAUGACUUAGGUAAGCUUACUCCCCUUUCCUCAUGGCUGAUUUCUAUUUUUUGUGUUGCUCUGUUCGAUUUGGUGGUUCCCCAUGUCCCAUUAGAUACCUUCCCAAUGGCUAGGGCCUCCAUGUUAUAUAUGGUGUUCACGGUGAGAUAAAGUUUGAGGUCGAUUUGAUCCGUAGUUAUUCUUUGCGACUAAGUUGACAUAUUGCUAUAUGUGAGCACACUUAUAGAUUUUGGUCCUCUGGAUAUGGUAUUUUUUUACUACGCUUUACAGAUAUGGCUUUUUUUGUAGACAUUAUUAUGCGAAAAAAUUGCUACGAGGGUACUAUCAGUAAUAGCUUUUGUUUUCUAUCUGUUCUCCACUGGCCAUUUUCUGUGCAGUUUGUUUUCUUUUAUAUUUGUGCUUGGUUACAAGUUUUUGUGUACUUGUUAUAGAUCUCUCUCUCUCUCUCUCUCUCUGACCAAUGAUCUUGGCUCGCAGGUCACCGAGGCAGACGAGGUUAUGGAUUACCUGAUGAGGUACUACUGAAUACUGAUGAUCUUACAUGUCUCUCUCUCUCUCUCUCAUGUCAAGUUCAAUUCCCUCUUAUUUUGCAGAAUGGAAUAUUUUGUUGCUUUUUGCAAUGCUAUAUUUGUUAUAUACUGUGUGAUGGAAGUAUAUGUUUUCCUGCCUUUGGACGCAGAAGCGAGCCAUCGCCGGCGGGCUAACGCUGUUGCACGUCAUGGCGGGGACGGCCUUGUGGCAGUCGUGCGUGCGCUACUCGAGUUGGGCACCGAUGUGGAGGCCCCUGGUCAGAAGGGACGCGGCUGGAGCUGCUGCUGGAGGAGACGCGGAAGCGUUGGACCCGACUCCUUUGUGCAGCCAUGCUAGCCUGCUGGAAGAUCCAUGGCCUGCCUGGCCAGCGUGACCAUUGAACAAAUCGUCUCUCAAAACCCUCCCUCCUCCUCGUAAGUGUUGAUUUCAAUUGUUUGCACCAACUUCUGCUUUGUCCGCAAUGUUACAGAUGCUUGUAGAUUUAGCAAAUAUAAUUUCUUAUUAUAUGUUUUCACAUUUGAAUUUGCAUCCUGGUUUUGCUUCGAGGAUUGUAGUUCA